UACGAGAGGCCCAAACGUUAUUCGGAAUUACUGGGCGUAAAGGGCUCGUAGGCGGCCAACUAAGUCAGACGUGAAAUCCCUCGGCUUAACCGGGGAACUGCGUCUGAUACUGGAUGGCUUGAGAUUGGGGGGAGGGAUGCGGAAUUCCAGGUGUAGCGGUGAAAUGCGUAGAUAUCUGGAGGAACACCGGUGGCGAAGGCGGCAUCCUGGACCAACACUGACGCUGAGGAGCGAAAGCGUGGGGAGCAAACAGG
rnacentral:rRNA from 1 species